GCCACUUUGAUUGCUGACUGGUUACAACAAACAUUAGCCUAUUAUGUACAGAAGUCAUCAACCAGUCAAUGGGUGAUUUUCUGGGCAUAUCUAGGGAAAUGUUUUUAAUGACAGUCCCUAAAUGUAUUUAAAUUUCAGUUGUCUCCCAACAUGGAAGCUCCUCUUUAUAGAUCCAAAUUUUGGAAACUAUAUAAGUCAUGCCAUUCAGUUCUCUUUAUUCUCCUUACUAUCUAUUGACAAUUUUAACCUCCCUCAGAGCACUGGUUUUAUGGGGCAGAAGGCAAGAUUCUUUGCGGCAAAUUUCAUGCUAUGCCCAACAUCAACGUUGGACAAUUGCUUGCUGGGUGGAUUGCUACACUAGAGUGUUCUAAAGUUUAUUCUACACAUUUUAAACCUGGAGAGAACUUAAUGUUCUAAAUAACUCUAUUGCCUCUUGCACAAAUGAAUUACAGCACUUUUCCUUAUAAGCAUUAUCAGCGCCAACCUAAGUAAGCACUUGGGAAAUAGUUGAGGGGAGAGAAUAAGUAAAUGAAUUAAUAAGUAACUGAAUAUUUAUGCUGCCUCAUAAAAUCUCCCAUACAGUGCACUCAUGUUCAGGAGCAUUAUUUGCAAUUGCCAAAAUAUGGGAGCAACCCAAGUGUCUGUUGGCAGAUGAGUGGAUAAAUGGAAUAUAUUAUUCAGCCAUAAAAAGGAAGGAAAAUUCUGACACACGCUGCAACAUGGAGGACCUUGAGACAUUAUGCUAAGUGAAACGAGCCAGUCACAAAAGGACAAAUACAGUGUGGUUCCUCUUCUGUGAGGCACCUAGAGUACUCAUUGUUUAGAGUCGGAAGUAGAAUGCUGGUCACCCAACUGGACUAUUAACAAUAGUUAAUUCCAGAGUCUCAGUUCCGGAAGAUGAAACAAGUUCUGGAAAUUGGUGGUGCUGAUAACUGCACAACAAUGUGAACAUACUUGAUACUACUGAACUAUACACUUAAAUGUGUAAGCUUUAUGUUAUGUGUCUGCAAAAUUUUUAGAGAAUUCGGUAGAAAGAGAUAUUCUGUUCGGGACUGGGAGAACAAAUUGUACAUACAGCCCUGUAACUUGGAG
rnacentral:lncRNA from 1 species